CCUACGUGUGGCAGCAGUGGGGAAUAUUGCACAAUGGGGGAAACUCUGAUGCAGCGACGCCGCGUGCGUGAAGAAGUAUUUCGGUAUGUAAAGCUCUAUCAGCAGGGAAGAGAAUGACGGUACCUGAGUAAGAAGUCCCGUCUAACUACGUGCCAGCAGCCGCGGAAAUACGUAGGGGGCAAGCGUUAUCCGGAUUUAAUGGGUGGAAAGGGAGCGUAGACGGCGAAGAAAGUCUGAAGUGAAAGCCCGCGGCUCAACCGCGGAACUGCUUUGGAAACUUUUUUGCUGGAGUACAGGAGAGGUAAGCGGAAUUCCGAGUGUAGCGGUGAAAUGCGUAGAUAUUAGGAGGAACACCAGUGGCGAAGGCGGGUUACUGGACGGUAACUGACGUUGAGGCUCGAAAGCGUGGGGAGCAAACAGGAUUAGAUACCCCAGUAGUC
rnacentral:rRNA from 1 species